rnacentral:rRNA from 1 species
AAUAUUGGACAAUGGGGGCAACCCUGAUCCAGCCAUGCCGCGUGUGUGAAGAAGGCCUUUUGGUUGUAAAGCACUUUAAGCAGGGAGGAGAGGCUAAUGGUUAAUACCCAUUAGAUUAGACGUUACCUGCAGAAUAAGCACCGGCUAACUCGGUGCCAGCAUGCGCGGUAAUACAGAGGGUGCGAGCGUUAAUCGGAAUUACUGGGCGUAAAGCGAGUGUAGGUGGCUCAUUAAGUCACAUGUGAAAUCCCCGGGCUUAACCUGGGAACUGCAUGUGAUACUGGUGGUGCUAGAAUAUGUGAGAGGGAAGUAGAAUUCCAGGUGUAGCGGUGAAAUGCGUAGAGAUCUGGAGGAAUACCGAUGGCGAAGGCAGCUUCCUGGCAUAAUAUUGACACUGAGAUUCGAAAGCGUGGGUAGCAAACAGG